rnacentral:rRNA from 1 species
AGGUAAAUCCGGUUCACUUUAACACUGAGGCGUGAUGACGAGGCACUACGGUGCUGAAGCAACAAAUGCCCUGCUUCCAGGAAAAGCCUCUAAGCAUCAGGUAACAUCAAAUCGUACCCCAAACCGACACAGGUGGUCAGGUAGAGAAUACCAAGGCGCUUGAGAGAACUCGGGUGAAGGAACUAGGCAAAAUGGUGCCGUAACUUCGGGAGAAGGCACGCUGACACGUAGGUGAAGUGAUUUACUCAUGGAGCUGAAGUCAGUCGAAGAUACCAGCUGGCUGCAACUGUUUAUUAAAAACACAGCACUGUGCAAACACGAAAGUGGACGUAUACGGUGUGACGCCUGCCCGGUGCCGGAAGGUUAAUUGAUGGGGUCAGCGCAAGCGAAGCUCCUGAUCGAAGCCCCGGUAAACGGCGGCCGUAACUAUAACGGUCCUAAGGUAGCGAAAUUCCUUGUCGGGUAAGUUCCGACCUGCACGAAUGGCGUAAUGAUGGCCAGGCUGUCUCCACCCGAGACUCAGUGAAAUUGAACUCGCUGUGAAGAUGCAGUGUACCCGCGGCAAGACGGAAAGACCCCGUGAACCUUUACUAUAGCUUGACACUGAACAUUGAGCCUUGAUGUGUAGGAUAGGUGGGAGGCUUUGAAGCGUGGACGCCAGUCUGCGUGGAGCCGACCUUGAAAUACCACCCUUUAAUGUUUGAUGUUCUAACGUGGACCCGUAAUCCGGGUUGCGGACAGUGUCUGGUGGGUAGUUUGACUGGGGCGGUCUCCUCCUAAAGAGUAACGGAGGAGCACGAAGGUUGGCUAAUCCUGGUCGGACAUCAGGAGGUUAGUGCAAUGGCAUAAGCCAGCUUGACUGCGAGCGUGACGGCGCGAGCAGGUGCGAAAGCAGGUCAUAGUGAUCCGGUGGUUCUGAAUGGAAGGGCCAUCGCUCAACGGAUAAAAGGUACUCCGGGGAUAACAGGCUGAUACCGCCCAAGAGUUCAUAUCGACGGCGGUGUUUGGCACCUCGAUGUCGGCUCAUCACAUCCUGGGGCUGAAGUAGGUCCCAAGGGUAUGGCUGUUCGCCAUUUAAAGUGGUACGCGAGCUGGGUUUAGAACGUCGUGAGACAGUUCGGUCCCUAUCUGCCGUGGGCGCUGGAGAACUGAGGGGGGCUGCUCCUAGUACGAGAGGACCGGAGUGGACGCAUCACUGGUGUUCGGGUUGUCAUGCCAAUGGCACUGCCCGGUAGCUAAAUGCGGAAGAGAUAAGUGCUGAAAGCAUCUAAGCACGAAACUUGCCCCGA